rnacentral:rRNA from 1 species
UUUAUACGGAGAGUUUGAUCCUGGCUCAGGACGAACGCUGGCGGCGUGCUUAACACAUGCAAGUCGAACGGUCUACCCUGACAGAUACCUUCGG